UAACCAUGGUGGGGGCAAAGAAUUUGCAAUUCUUUGUAUCUUUCCCACGCUUGAUAUAAAGUUUCUUUGUCCUUUUGGACAAAAGAAGAAUUUUUUUAAAGCAGUUG
rnacentral:snoRNA from 1 species